rnacentral:rRNA from 1 species
GAUGAACGCUAGCUACAGGCUUAACACAUGCAGGUCGAGGGGUAACGAGAGGAAAGCUUGCUUUCCUUGUCGACGACCGGCGCACGGGUGAGUAACGCGUAUCCAACCUGCCCCCAACUAGGGAAUAACCUUGCGAAAGUAAGACUAAUAACCUAUAAUUUCCUCAGAUGUCAUCUGACGAGGAAUAAAGAUUUAUCGGUUGUGGAUGGGGAUGCGUCUGAUUAGCUUGUUGGCGGGGUAACGGCCCACCAAGGCAACGAUCAGUAGGGGUUCUGAGAGGAAGGUCCCCCACAUUGGAACUGAGACACGGUCCAAACGCCUACGGGAGGCAGCAGUGAGGAAUAUUGGUCAAUGGGCGGAAGCCUGAACCAGCCAAGUAGCGUGCAGGAUGACGGCCCUAUGGGUUGUAAACUGCUUUUAUACAGGAAUAAAGUUAGCCACGUGUGGUUAUUUGUAGGUACUGUAUGAAUAAGGACCGGCUAAUUCCGUGCCAGCCGCCGCGGUAA